CGCACUGCUUUGCUUUAUCUUGGCCAGGUUGCAGUUCUCAAUGAGAACUUGUUCUCCACUAGCUUACCUGGUUAAAUAAAGGUGAAAUAAAAUAAAAUAAGAAACAUUUUUAAUCUUUCCCAGAACGGGGAUGUAGCUCAGUGGUAGAGCGCAUGCUUCGCAUGUAUGAGGUCCUGGGUUCAAUCCCCAGCAUCUCCAUUUAAAAUUAUUGCAUUGACCCAACUCCUACUUUACAGAAUGUUGUAAUUCUAAGCAGGAAACAGAGACGUGCUAAAUAAUUUGGUUUUGUAAUCUGAAGAACAUUCCUUCAAUCCCUGUUCGUAC
rnacentral:tRNA from 1 species